UACAUAAAAAGGCAUCCUUGUUGAAUAUA
rnacentral:piRNA from 1 species